AGUGAACGCUGGCGGUAGGCCUAACACAUGCAAGUCGAACGGCAGCACAGUAAGAGCUUGCUCUUACGGGUGGCGAGUGGCGGACGGGUGAGGCAUACAUCGGAAUCUACUUUUUCGUGGGGGAUAACGUAGGGAAACUUACGCUAAUACCGCAUACGACCUACGGGUGAAAGCAGGGGAUCUUCGGACCUUGCGCGACUGAAUGAGCAGAUGUCGGAUUAGCUAGUUGGCGGGGUAAAGGCCCACCAAGGCGACGAUCCGUAGCUGGUCUGAGAGGAUGAUCGGCCACACUGGAACUGAGACACGGUCCAGACUCCUACGGGAGGCAGCAGUGGGGAAUAUUGGACAAUGGGCGCAAGCCUGCUCCAGCCAUACCGCGUGAGUGAAGAAGGCCUUCGGGUUGUACAGCCCUUUUGUUGGGAAAGAAAAGCAGCAGGUUAAUACCCCGCUGUUCUGACGGUACCCAAAGAAUAAGCACCUGCUAACUUCGUG
rnacentral:rRNA from 1 species